UCGUGAAUUUUCCGCAAUGGGCGAAAGCCUGACGGAGCGACACCGCGUGCAGGAUGAAGGCCUUCGGGUUGUAAACUGCUGUCAGGUUCUAGGAACGAACGGGUGUGAACAGCACUCGGAAUGACUAAGACCAAAGGAAGCAGCGGCUAACUCUGUGCCAGCAGCCGCGGUAAUACAGAGGUUGCAAACGUUGUUCGGAAUUACUGGGCAUAAAGCGCACGUAGGUGGUCUGCUAAGUCGGGCGUGAAAUCCCUCGGCUCAACCGAGGAAUUGCGUCCGAUACUGGCAGGCUCGAGGUUCGGAGAGGUAACUGGAACUCCUGGUGGAGCGGUGAAAUGCGUAGAUAUCAGGAGGAACACCGGUGGCGAAAGCGAGUUACUGGCCGAAAUCUGACACUGAG
rnacentral:rRNA from 1 species